rnacentral:rRNA from 1 species
AUGGCUUCCAAGCUCUCGGUUGCUGUUCUUCUCCUCUGUGUCGGCGUGUGCGUGGCUCGCAACAGCGACUUCUCCAUCGUCGGCUACUCGGAGGAGGACCUGUCGUCGCACGACAGGCUCAUCGAGCUGUUCGAGAAGUGGCUGGCCAAGCACCAGAAGGCGUACGCGAGCUUCGAGGAGAAGCUGCACCGGUUCGAGGUGUUCAAGGACAACCUGAAGCUCAUCGACGAGAUCAACCGGGAGGUGACCAGCUACUGGCUUGGUCUCAAUGAGUUCGCCGACCUCACCCACGACGAGUUCAAGGCCGCCUACCUUGGCCUCAGCCCUCCUCCGGCUAGCCGGAGCAGUAGCCGGAGCUUCAGGUACGAGGACUUGUCUGCCCGCGACUUGCCGAAGGAGGUUGACUGGAGGAAGAAGGGCGCGGUGACGGACGUGAAGAACCAGGGGCAGUGCGGCAGCUGCUGGGCAUUCUCGACCGUGGCGGCGGUGGAGGGGAUCAACGCGAUCGUGACGGGCAACCUGACGGCGCUGUCGGAGCAGGAGCUCAUCGACUGCAGCGUCGACGGCAACAGUGGCUGCAACGGCGGUAUGAUGGACUAUGCCUUCUCCUACAUCGCCUCCAGCGGCGGCCUCCACACCGAGGAGGCCUAUCCGUACCUUAUGGAGGAAGGCAGCUGCGGCGACGGCAAGAAGAGUGAGUCUGAGGCGGUGUCGAUCAGCGGCUACGAGGACGUGCCGGCAAAGGACGAGCAGGCGCUGAUCAAGGCGCUCGCACACCAGCCCGUCUCCGUCGCCAUUGAGGCCUCCGGCAGGCACUUCCAGUUCUACAGCGGGGGGGUUUUCGAUGGUCCGUGCGGCGCGCAUCUGGAUCACGGGGUGGCGGCGGUCGGGUACGGGUCGGACAAGGGCAAGGGGCACGACUACAUCAUUGUGAAGAACUCGUGGGGAGCCAAGUGGGGCGAGAAGGGGUACAUCAGGAUGAAGAGGGCCACCGGCAAGGGCGAGGGCCUCUGCGGCAUCAACAAGAUGGCCUCCUACCCAACCAAGGACAACUGA